CGCACGAAGGGUUUCGGCCUUAGUGGCGGACGGGUGAGUAACGCGUAGGUAUCUAUCCAUGGGGUGGGGGAUAACACUGGGAAACUGGUGCUAAUACCGCAUGACACCUGAGGGUCAAAGGCGUAAGUCGCCUGUGGAGGAGCCUGCGUUUGAUUAGCUAGUUGGUGGGGUAAAGGCCUACCAAGGCGAUGAUCAAUAGCUGGUUUGAGAGGAUGAUCAGCCACACUGGGACUGAGACACGGCCCAGACUCCUACGGGAGGCAGCAGUGGGGAAUAUUGGACAAUGGGGGCAACCCUGAUCCAGCAAUGCCGCGUGUGUGAAGAAGGUCUUCGGAUUGUAAAGCACUUUCGACGGGGACGAUGAUGACGGUACCCGUAGAAGAAGCCCCGGCUAACUUCGUGCCAGCAGCCGCGGUAAUACGAAGGGGGCUAGCGUUGCUCGGAAUGACUGGGCGUAAAGGGCGUGUAGGCGGUUUGUACAGUCAGAUGUGAAAUCCCCGGGCUUAACCUGGGAGCUGCAUUUGAUACGUGCAGACUAGAGUGUGAGAGAGGGUUGUGGAAUUCCCAGUGUAGAGGUGAAAUUCGUAGAUAUUGGGAAGAACACCGGUGGCGAAGGCGGCAACCUGGCUCAUUACUGACGCUGAGGCGCGAAAGCGUGGGGAGCAAACAGGAUUAGAUACCCUGGUAGUCCACGCUGUAAACGAUGUGUGCUAGAUGUUGGGUGACUUAGUCAUUCAGUGUCGCAGUUAACGCGUUAAGCACACCGCCUGGGGAGUACGGCCGCAAGGUUGAAACUCAA
rnacentral:rRNA from 1 species